rnacentral:rRNA from 1 species
UCUGGUGGCUUAACGAUGGGGAUACACCCGAUCUCAUUCCGAACUCGGAAGUUAAGCUCAUUAGUGCCGAUGGUAGUCCGUAAGGGCAAGAGUAGGUAGCCGCCAGAA